CGCUCUAUGUCAGUACACUAUCUGCUACACACCACUACUGAUUUGGACUGCAUUUGAAAGUAAGUCUCUCCCUCCGCCGGGACUUCGGGAUGAGAGCCUUCUCCAUACUUUGGAUGCUGGACAUGGACAACCGCUGUACUGCAGACCUGCUCCUUCCAAACAGAGUCCAAAGAUACGAGAUGCUGUUAUGUGUUGCCCGGCCUGGUAUGCAGGAGGAAACCUGGUUAUUUUGGGAGCGAAGCCAGGGAAGUCUGGAAAGUCACUCAAGGCUGCGGACCGCCACUGGCCUCUAGGUCAGACGCCGUCACACAGGACGGACUGGAAGGAACGGGCGGUGUGCACUGUUUGUAACUAGGUUUGCUUCUUCUCCUCUUAUCCUAGCUUAGCUACCUGUGGUAGGCCUACGAUAUGCAUGUUGUGUUCUGCAAAUAUCCAGAGAAAUUAUAAGUAGAUAUGAAAUCGUUCACUGGUUUUCGUAGUGGAGAUGGUACAUUGAUGCGUACUUUAGCAACAUGAUGUUCAAUUUUAUUGUGUAGCAUCGUAUGUAAAGUAACUAAAAUGUGCAUGAAAUAACUCAGUU
ensembl:lncRNA